rnacentral:rRNA from 1 species
CCUACGGGAGGCAGCAGUAGGGAAUAUUGCUCAAUGGGGGAAACCCUGAAGCAGCAACGCCGCGUGGAGGAUGAAGGUUUUAGGAUUGUAAACUCCUUUUGUGAGAGAAGAUAAUGACGGUAUCUCACGAAUAAGCACCGGCUAACUCCGUGCCAGCAGCCGCGGUAAUACGGAGGGUGCAAGCGUUACUCGGAUUCACUGGGCGUAAAGAGUGCGUAGGCGGGCUUGUAAGUCAGAUGUGAAAUCCUGUAGCUUAACUACAGAACUGCAUUUGAAACUAUGAGUCUAGAGUGUGGGAGAGGUAAGUGGAAUUCCUGGUGUAGGGGUGAAAUGCGUAGAUAUCAGGAGGAAUACUCGUUGCGAAGGCGACCUACUGGAACAUUACUGACGCUCAUGCACGAAAGCGUGGGGAGCAAACAGGAUUAGAUACCCGGGUAGUC